GUGUAUGGCCAUACCACCCUGAACAUGCCUGAUCUUGUCUGAUCUCGUGAAGCUAAGCAGGAUCUGGCCUGGUUAGUUCUUGGACGGGAGACCACUUGAGAAUUUCAGGUGCUGCAGGCC
rnacentral:rRNA from 1 species